AUUAUUGGUUCAAGUCCCUCUAUCCCCA
rnacentral:tRNA from 1 species